AUAUUUUAGCCUAGAUUUCAGUUACGGAGAGGUUACUAACUGGUAACACGAAAACACAUUCUGUUCUAAUCAGUGUGAAAACUGGUUUCCGACGUUUUUCGUUGGUCUUUUUCACAUUCAUUUUUGGAACUUCCGAGAAUGCUAGCUUGCUAGCUUUUCUUGGAACGGUCUCCGGGGGCUUUCACUAUCUCCCCCGCGAGGCCAACCACCA
rnacentral:snRNA from 1 species